GAGAGAGAUGAAUAGAACAGGCAGACCGGACCAUACCAACACAUGGGGGGUUAUAAAUUGAGACUGAAAGUUUGGCUCAGAAUGAGUGUUUAGUUCAAAGAAACACACUGCUAUGGUCUGCUGAUCGCAAAACACAGAAAGACUGAUUUUCGAGUCUCUCUGAACGGAUAUCAGUUCACAUAUCCUCAUCCCCAUUUUCCAGGCGUCUCAUCUCCAACACUCUUUGUGACAACGUGAUUUGAAUCAAGGGGAGCUUUGGAAGAGUCAACCACAUCUAAAACUAAAGAUCCAGGAACGACAUGGAUAUUUCCUUCAAUCGGUCCCUCUCUAAUCUCUCACUCCCGGUUUCCCCAACAUCUCUACCUCUGGAUCUUCACCAUCCCCUCACGACCAUCAUCAUCAUCGUGUGUCUGUUUGUUCUGUUCGGGGGCUUCGUGACCUUUCUGGCGGUGGGCUGCCCGUCGGGAGGGUCCUGGGGUGUGGAUGGAGACUGCGGACAGACUCUGUCCAGCGAGCCUCAGCUGAAGCUCUGGAAGCGUUUGGGCUCGAUGAGGCAGUCGUUUUCCUCUGCGCCGACCUUCAGAAGACCCCUUCAGCCAUACAUAGCCCAGAGCAGGAAGCACUCAGGGUCAAUGUCACCAGCAGAGUCAAAGACAAACGACUCCCACACAUAUAUUACUAUACCGGCUCUGCUGCAGUUUUCCACUGAGAUAUAAGCUCUAUUGCAUCACCUAGUGAGCUGUCUUGCUAUUUAGUACCUACAUAAGCAACAGGCUUCUAAGUGACUGAUUUAGAGUGCAUUUCAUAGGCAACUACUAUGUGCGCCACAGGAAACUUGACUCAAAAUGAUUUCACCGGAGUUGUAAGCUUGUUGCUAAUCUAGUGAUGUGAUUCUCUAAUAAGCACAAAAAUGCAUGACAAGCAAAUCUGAAAUAAAAACAUUUACAUUUCAUUUAA